AUGCGGAAAAAAAUCACUGAAGCAAUUUUGCAGAAGUUCGAAAAUGGCAUCGUUGGAAUGCGAAAUCAAGUUUCGUAAAUUGGGUCUCAAGUGACGAACGGCGGCAGAUGCUGAAAUAAAAAAAAAUAUCAGAAGUAAUAAAAAUAAAUAAAUGGACCAAGAAGACUUGUGAUUGAGUAUAAAGUUACAGCCAGCACCAGAGUGAAUUGCAGCAAUGAUGGCGACCCAUUAAAAUGAAUUGCAUUGCACUUUGUGCCAUCAACAGGGUAUAAACUCCCUGACAUCGUAUGAUGAUGCUACAUGGCUUCAUAAGUAAAGAAAUUAUAGAAAGUGGAAAAUAAGAGGAAACAAAAGAACAAAAUAGGAAUUGCAUAAACACUAUAAAUAUGUAACAAUGAAAAACAAGUAAGAACUACUAACAAGCAAUAUAUGCACAUACACACACCUGUAUGGGUAAAAAUAUAGCUAAAUAUAUCCGUAGCCACAUGGUGGAGGACCGAACGAAAGAAAAAAACAUUUACGCCAUAUUAAUAAAAUUGAAUUGCUGCGUUUGUAAGCUAAAAUUCUGCAAAUGUACGAAAAAGAUUUCUCAAUGCUGAUGCUGCUAUCCAUGCCUGCACAUGAGUUCAGUCCACAAUUCAGGAAGUAUGCUAAGCUGUGGUAAGUAAAUGAAUGACGAGUAGAUGGCAAUGGCACCAGCAAUAGCAAAUAUUAUAACAAGCACAGAAGUAGUAACACAAAAUUGACGAUAUCGAAUAGAAGUUGAAGAAAAUUUGACGAGUUUUAUACUUAGAAUGUAUAACGAAGGCAAAAAAUGCAGUGGCAUUUCUAAAAAUGUAAGAUUGUGAAAUAAGCAAAAUCACAGAAUUUUAAAUGGAUAGCACGUCAUAAGAAUGAAUGUGAUCCGACCCAGAAAUGGAUUUUUGAGUACGGACUAGUGCGUAACUGACAAAGAAAACAGAUUAACUAAAAAAUCAAUGCUAGAGAUAUAGCAGAAUGAAGUAAAAUUUUUGAAGAAAUCAGAAUCGAGCCCGCAUUCCAGCGUUAAUUGAUAAAGAUAUAAUAUAUAUUCUAAUACUUAGGACACGCUGCCCUACUUAUCACUAUCUAAUCUCAGAAUAAUCUCUAGAAGCACAAGGCGGUACGCAAACUUUAGAUCAGUCAUCGAAUAAUCACAAAGCUUUUGAAGAAUACAUAAAUUAGUCAGUGAGAAGGGUGGGACUCUGCAGAAACCCCCAGUUAUCAAAAAAACUCAACAUGAACAUGAACUUAGGAUCUGUUCAUGUGAAAAUAUGUUACUGAUAAUCUUUAGUAGCACAAGUUAAGUGCAUUUAACAAGAAACAUAAAGACGAUCAAUGAAAUCUAUAAUAAAUUAUGUACUUCUUCCACUACUGAUUAAGCGAUGUCCUACAUAACAUGAUUAUUAUGUCAUGUAUCGAAAAGAAAAUCAUAUUAGAAAAUCGAACAAGAACAUAUGUGAAAUAUAUUCAAGAAGAAAAGGGUGGUAACACUAAAGGAAAUUUCAAGUAAAAAAGAAACUUGUAAUCAAGUAAAUUUUUGGGCUGGUCAUAGUUGGGCUGGCCUGUUUCGGUCAUCGUCAAAUGUCCCAAAUGUCCAUCAAUUAUGGUAUCAGGAAAAAUCAGGUUUAAUUGUCCGUGUAUAAAGUUUCGACUGCAAGUGUCAGGCAUUGAUCCCCGUCAAACCUUAAAUCCAGGACCCGUUUAUUAAAUUCUUUUUCACCAAUUGGAAAACUAGAACUUAAUAUAAUAUAUUUAAUAAAUUAGAUUUCUAUGUAACGUUUCUAUGCGGAGUUUUUGUCCGAAAUUUAUUUUUUUAACUCAUU